AUUGAACGCUGGCGGCAUGCCUUACACAUGCAAGUCGAACGGUAACAGGUCUUCGGAUGCUGACGAGUGGCGAACGGGUGAGUAAUACAUCGGAACGUGCCCGAGAGUGGGGGAUAACGAGGCGAAAGCUUUGCUAAUACCGCAUACGAACUCAGGAUGAAAGCAGGGGACCGCAAGGCCUUGCGCCCACGGAGCGGCCGAUGGCAGAUUAGGUAGUUGGUGGGAUAAAAGCUUACCAAGCCGACGAUCUGUAGCUGGUCUGAGAGGACGACCAGCCACACUGGGACUGAGACACGGCCCAGACUCCUACGGGAGGCAGCAGUGGGGAAUUUUGGACAAUGGGCGCAAGCCUGAUCCAGCCAUGCCGCGUGCAGGAUGAAGGCCUUCGGGUUGUAAACUGCUUUUGUACGGAACGAAAAGACUCUGGUUAAUACCUGGGGUCCAUGACGGUACCGUAAGAAUAAGCACCGGCUAACUACGUGCCAGCCGCCGCUGUAAUAC
rnacentral:rRNA from 1 species